UACGGAGGAUGCGAGCGUUAUCCGGAUUUAUUGGGUUUAAAGGGUGCGUAGGCGGAUCGUUAAGUCAGUGGUCAAAUUGAGGGGCUCAACCCCUUCCCGCCAUUGAAACUGGCGAUCUUGAGUGGAAGAGAAGUAUGCGGAAUGCGUGGUGUAGCGGUGAAAUGCAUAGAUAUCACGCAGAACCCCGAUUGCGAAGGCAGCAUGCCGGCUUCCUACUGACGCUGAAGCACUAAAGCGUGGGGAUCGAACAGG
rnacentral:rRNA from 1 species